rnacentral:rRNA from 1 species
GAUGAACGCUAGCUAUAGGCUUAACACAUGCAAGUCGAGCGACCGGCGCACGGGUGAGUAACACGUAUCCGACCUACCCAUAACUAAGUGAUAACCCAGCGAAAGUUGGACUAAUACCUUAUGGUUAUGGAUGGGGAUGCGUCUGAUUAGCUUGUUGGCGGGGGAACGGCCCACCAAGGCAACGAUCAGUAGGGGUUCUGAGAGGUAGGUCGCCGCCAUGGGAACUGGGGAACGGACCAAACGCCUAGGGGAGGCAGCAGUGAGGGGUAUUAGACAAUGGACGCAAGUCUGAACCAGCCAAGUAGCGUGAAGGAUGAAGGGCUAUGGGGGGUAAAAUGCUUGGAUAGGGGGAGAGGUACCAGACGAAUAAGGACCGGCUAAUUCCGUGCCAGCCGCCGCGGUAAUAC